GUUGAAGGCUGGGUCCUGCGCGGCAGAACACUAUGAACCCCGUCAGGUCCGGGAGGAAGCAGCGGUAAAUAGUAGCUUCUGGGUGCCGCAGGGUUGCCUGGUCGGAGCUGGCUGAUAGGGGCAAGCCGGGAGACGGGGUCGACAGCGGGUGCACGA
rnacentral:SRP_RNA from 1 species